CCUCAGAGACAACGACCUCCUUUGGGCUGUUCUGAUGGAACAGAUGCCCUUGACCUGCCACUGUUCCUAUCACCCCCCUCCUUCGCACCAGACGUGAGGGGUGCAGGGAACGUCAGCCGGCAUUGCUUACUCUCACAGGCCAGUCCUGGGAGGCAGCCAAGAGCCACACAGGGGCUGUAUCUCAUGUAAUCCUCCAAGCAUCUCAUGAGGUAGGCCCCAUGGUUAUCCCCAUUUACAGACCAGCAGGCCAAUGGCCACAGGCUCGUGGCCAAGGUCACAGGCUGGUAGGUGAAGGGCACACUGGAAAGCAGGCUGUGAGGCACUGAGACGCUGUUCUCUCCACGCCCAGCACAGCCCACGCUGCUCUGUUCUCCUUCGGCCGACAAGAGCUGGCUGCCACAGGCCCCUCACUGAGCUGGGUGCAAGCCCUGGCGGCCCCUCAGGCCCUGUGCUGUUUCUGGAGCUGCAGUGAGUGUGAUGGAAACCCCAUCCCUGCUCUGCUCCUGUGCGAAGGGCACCCCUCACCCCCCACCUCUCAGCUCAGCACCCUCAGAGAAGUGCUGCAAAGGCCGGCACUUCGCAAGCAGGAAGGGCUGCUGCCAACCGUCGUUUCCCAUUUUCCUGCCCCCUUUGG